UCUUUUAUUUUGUAUAAUUUAAAAUUUCUUUUUGAAGAAGAAAAAUGUGAAAAGGAAGGCGAAAGGACUAAGUGAAGAAGUGAAUGGAGAUGAAGGAAGAGAGGAUGUUAGCUAAGGUAGAUGAAAAAUAAGGCAUGCUAGUAAAGUUCAAUAAAGGGGUUUCGAUGAGAGUGGAGGAACAAGUUCAAUAACUUGUCUUGCGGGGAACAAGGAAAGACAUGGCGUCUGCAAGAAAAACAAGAAUUUAGUUAAGUUAAUAUAUCAAGGAAUACGUGGGUAGUUACUGACAUCGUACCGAAUGCCACACGAGUUAAAUUCUCAUGUUUAAGGUAAUCGACCAAUUGACGGGCGUGGAGACGACGGGGUAAGGCUAUUGAUAGUUUUAACAGCUUCAACCUCGACGGGGGACAUCUUGCUAGUCGACACGGGGUCUAUAUGGACAAGAUCCUCGGUCCAGUAAAAAGGGAACAACGGUUCGCCGGCAUCAUCACGGAACUGACCACGACCGACCUCCUUUAUAUUACUUUAAAAUACCUAGUUUUGAAAUCUUUGAACGACUUGGAAUAAGCUUU
rnacentral:lncRNA from 1 species